rfam:Angiostrongylus cantonensis strain Taiwan genome assembly, scaffold: ACAC_contig0013238
GGCGAGAUGGCCGAGCGGUCCAAGGCGCUGGUUUUGGGCACCAGUCCCUUCGAGGGCGUCGUUUUGAAUCCAACUCUCAUCA